rnacentral:sRNA from 1 species
CUCUUUCGGCCGCGCUGGUGAACAGCCCAGCUCAACAUUGGCAAUGUGCUCCCUGUGGGCACCAUGCCUGAGGGUACAAUCGUGUGCUGCCUGGAGGAGAAGCCUGGAGACCGUGGCAAGCUGGCCCGGGCAUCAGGGAACUAUGCCACCGUUAUCUCCCACAACCCUGAGACCAAGAAGACCCGUGUGAAGCUGCCCUCCGGCUCCAAGAAGGUUAUCUCCUCAGCCAACAGAGCUGUGGUUGGUGUGGUGGCUGGAGGUGGCCGAAUUGACAAACCCAUCUUGAAGGCUGGCCGGGCGUACCACAAAUAUAAGGCAAAGAGAAACUGCUGGCCACGAGUGCGGGGUGUGGCCAUGAAUCCUGUGGAGCAUCCUUUUGGAGGUGGCAACCACCAGCACAUCGGCAAGCCCUCCACCAUCCGCAGAGAUGCCCCUGCUGGCCGCAAAGUGGGUCUCAUUGCUGCCCGCCGGACUGGACGUCUCCGGGGAACCAAGACUGUGCAGGAGAAAGAGAACUAGUGCUGAGGGCCUCAAUAAAGUUUGUGUUUAUGCCACC